rnacentral:rRNA from 1 species
UCCAGCAGCCAUAUCAUCCUGCAACUCACAACUGGCAACCCACUGAAGCUCAGCAGGUGUGAGCCUGGUCAGUACCUGGAUGGGAGACCUCCUGGGAAAAACUAAGGUUGCUGCUGNNN